CCUACGGGUGGCUGCAGUCGAGAAUCAUUGUCAAUGGACGCAAGUCUGAACGUGCGAUGCCGCGUGGAGGAAUGCAGGUCUUUGGAUUGUAAACCCCUUUCAUGCGGGAGCAAAUUCAAAAGAUAGUACCUCACGAGGAAGAGACUGCUAACUCUGUGCCAGCAGCCGCGGUAAUACAGAGGUUUCAAGCGUUGUUCGGAAUCACUGGGCGUAAAGCGUGCGUAGGCAGUUGCGUAAGUCGUGUGUGAAAGGCUGGGGCUCAAACCCCGGAUGGCACAUGAUACUGUGAGGCUAGAGAUAUGGUGGGGGAGGCGGAAUGUACGGUGUAGCAGUGAAAUGCGUAGAGAUCG
rnacentral:rRNA from 1 species